rnacentral:rRNA from 1 species
GGUCAACACUCGAAGAGCGCGCCCCAAAUUGCGCGUCUCGAGUCCGGGAGGGGAGAUCGGAUUGCAGGCUGUAGCCGUGAAAUGCGUUGAUAUCCUGCAGAGCAUCGGUGCGAAGGCGGAUCUUCUGAACGCAACUGACGCUGAUGGCGCGAAAGCCGGGGAGCAACAGGAUUAGAUACCCUGGGUAGUGCUGGCUUAAACUGUGCACACUUGGAGUGGGGGGAUUUCACCCCCCCCGUCCCGGAGCUAACGCGUUAAGUGUGCCGCCUGGGGAGUACGGCCGCAAGGUUAAAACUCAAAGAAAUUGACGGGGGCCCGCACAAGCAGAGGAGCAUGUGGCUUAAUUCGAUGCAACGCGAAGAACCUUACCCGGGUUUGACAUGCAGCUGCACGGCCGGUGAAAGCCGGCCUCCUUCGAGGGUGCUGCACAGGUGCUGCAUGGCUGUCGUCAGUUCGUGCCGUGAGGUGUUUGGUUAAGUCCAGCAACGAACGCAACCCCUGUGUCCAGUUGCCAUCAGGUAACGCUGGGAACUCUGGACAGACUGCCCGUUCACACGGGAGGAAGGUGGGGAUGACGUCAAGUCAGUAUGGCCCUUACGUCCGGGGCUGCACACGUGCUACAAUGGCCGGCACAAAGGGAAGCUAGGCCGCGAGGUCCGGCCAACCCCCAAAACCGGCCCCAGUUCAGAUUGGGGUCUGCAACCCGA